CCCCAAACCCAGGAAGGACUACGGACUUUUCCCAGGCAGAAGGUGCAGCAGGAGUUGAGCGAGCUCCUCUGCGGCAGCGAGCGAGCGCCUCAGGGGCUGCUGCCCGGAUCCAGAGCCUAGGAACACAGGUCCGGGGUCCUGUGCCUCCAAGGCCCCGGGGCUUGGGGGUGGGGCGGACGGGGUUCGCUCUGCCCAGCCGGGGCUUGGGCUGGGGGCCGAGCACACGGUCGGGCUUGGCUGCGCUCCGCCCCGGGAAGCACCCGCUCCCCCUGCCGGAAUCCCGGGAAUGUCGCUGGUCGGGAAGCAGCUGGACCGCCUCUGGGCAGAGGGAGAGGUCGAACCUGGAAUUUCUCGGGCGCUUUUGCACAAUAUCCCCCCAAGCGUUUCAGUCCCGUGAAGUAGAAGUCCACGGAGCGGGGGGUGUGAGAAGGAAGCGGCCUACUUCUCCGGGAAGACUUAGUCGCGGCAAAGGCCCCAGCUCGUAGCCCCUAUAAAUGGCUCUUCCUGGCUCGAAAGAUCCCUUCUUUGUGUCUGAGGGAGGAAGCCCUUCCCCGCUUGGAAACCGACAGGGCCACCCCGGGGCAGGCGUUUCCAGCUGGAUUGUCGCCAUCUCGUGGCAGGAUUGGGUGGCCACACUGGAACCUGGGCCAGCCCGCCAUGCGUGCAACUUUCUUGGGUCUCCAGGUGCUUGUGUCUUCCUAAAGGCAACCAAGUGUUACCUGGAGAAUCCAGGAGAGAGCAGUUGCCUUCCUGAGGGGCUCUGCCACCUGAGGCACGAUGAGCAACUUGAACAAGGCGCCAAUCCCCCACCAAUUUCCCAUGAUACAAACUAAUGAUUAAGAAGACAGAGACGCACUCUGUCUUGUUCCCAGUGGUUAGUAAUGUUAUUAUACUUGAUGAGUAUUAUUAAAGGACCCCUGUUAUUAAAGA